ACUAGCAGUGAACCACUGACUGAAUAUAUACCCAGCAAAACAGGCAGCAGCAGGAGCACACCAAAUAAGUCAGCUGCUCUGUGCGUACACUGCCAGAGCUAAAGGCAGACACACCCACCCUCACACACACGACAUGACUCAUAUCAUACAGAAAAAAUACACAGACCCACAAACUGACGGAUCUCCCGAGAAGAGUUUUAAAUGUUUAAAGCGUGUAAUCUGCUUGUAGUUUUGCAGACGUGAUCUAAAAUUUAGGUAUAUGCGUGAAUGGUUAAGUGUGUGUCAUGUACACAUCUUUUUCACAGCAAUUCCUGUCUAACCCGCUCUGGAGAAGGACAAAGGGAUGGAAUGAGGAGGAGGAAUAUAUCGAGUUACUGAAAUGCAUGCAUUGUAUGGUUUGUAGGACUUCAAGUUUCAUCACAUCGUUCAUUAAGACUUAAAACUAUCAAGACGCUCGAUCGAGACUAAAAGCAACAAGUUCAUCAUUCAAUUUCCAUCUGAGCAAAAGCAAAAGAGUCUCCAGCAACAAUGGAAUCUGAAUUUAUUCAUCUCAAGGAGAAAUUUCUUUCUCUUUAUAAUCGUGAUUUUGCUGAACUGGAGCGGUCCACAAAGAAACUGCGCAGAAUCAUGAGUACGUUUGAAGAAGACUUCAGAAGCGCUACUGAAGGCCUUAGACUUGAAGCAAUGGCAUUAAUAGCUGUAGGAGCCACUGUGAUUGCUGGAAUUGCUUUAGCUCCAUUUACUCUGGGGGCAUCUGUUGCUCUCUCAGUAGCAGCACUAGCUGUGGCUGCAGCUGGUGCAGUCAGAGGUGCAGUGUUCAA